rnacentral:ncRNA from 1 species
CCUGGGGUGCUGUUAUAUAACCAGGUUGUAACGGCUGAGAUUAAACCCGAAUACCUGAUCUGGGUAAUGCCAGCGUAGGAAUCAAAA